GGGCCCCCUGAUGUUGGAGGACGAUAGCUAGCUGCGGCAGCCGGCGGCGGCGGCGGCGGAGGUGGUGAGAUCGACCAUGCCGAUUCCCAGACCCUGAGCUUUCAUAACUUUGGUAUAUAUAGUUUCUCAUAUGUUGGCCAACUCUUUGCUUCCCUACCACUAAGCUCUCACAGCUUAAGCCUAGGGAUGACGAGGUGGUGGAAUUUCAUACGUUCCUAAUGCAAAGUUUGAGAAUUGUGUCUUUCUUGAUUCGUAUGUGUGAAUGCUACAAAUUAUUUGAGCACCUUGCUUUGAUUUGUAUAAAGCCUAUUAGAGGUUAUAUUAGAUUGCUUUGGAUUGUAAGAAUAUGCUUCUAAUUUAGUUUGUGUGAAAUAACUUUGUUGUUAUGUUCAAGAGAAAGCGAUGCUUGCUAU
rnacentral:lncRNA from 1 species